GGAAGGAUGAGAGAGGCCGCGAAGAUUCUGGCCUCCAUCUUCUGCUCCACGCUUCUCAUCGGCGCCGUCAUUGCCGACGAUCCUUAUCGUUUCUAUAACUGGAAUGUCACCUGGGGUGAUAUCUGGCCCCUUGGCGUCAAGCAACAGGGUAUACUGAUAAACGGUCAGUUCCCGGGGCCGCAGAUUGAGUCACAGACCAACGACAAUCUCAUCAUCAACGUCUUCAAUAGCCUCACCGAGCCCUUCCUCAUCUCCUGGAACGGGAUACAACAGAGGAGGAACUCAUAUGAAGAUGGAGUUUACGGUACCACCUGCCCGAUUCCGCCUGGGAGGAACUUCACAUACAUUC
rnacentral:misc_RNA from 1 species